rnacentral:misc_RNA from 1 species
AAGUCGUAACAAGGUUUCCGUAGGUGAACCUGCGGAAGGAUCAUUAAAAAUAAAAGUGGGACUUUCAGCAGUAGAUUCUUUCCCCUCGGGGACUUGAAACCUGCCGUUAGUUCAACAACACUUUUACACCACUUGUGCACUUGUCAUUGUCUCUGGCAGGAUAACCUGUUCGUUGUUUUAAUCGAAGCUGUACAAUUUUAACUGAGUGUGAAAACGCAAGGUCUUAAUUAACAGCCAAGUUUAACAGCGAGCAUGGCCCUGCCGCUUUAUUUUAAUCAACCAUGUUUUUAAACCACGUCUGAAACAACAAUCUUAAGGUCGAAAGGCUUUGAUAAUAAAUACAACUUUUGGCAACGGAUCUCUUGGCUCUC